rnacentral:rRNA from 1 species
CAGUCGCCGCGGUAAUACAGAGGGUGCGAGCGUUAAUCGGAUUUACUGGGCGUAAAGCGUGCGUAGGCGGCUUCUUAAGUCGGAUGUGAAAUCCCUGAGCUUAACUUAGGAAUUGCAUUCGAUACUGGGAAGCUAGAGUAUGGGAGAGGAUGGUAGAAUUCCAGGUGUAGCGGUGAAAUGCGUAGAGAUCUGGAGGAAUACCGAUGGCGAAGGCAGCCAUCUGGCCUAAUACUGACGCUGAGGUGCGAAAGCGUGGGGAGCAAACAGGAUUAGAUACCCCGGUAGUCCCUGUCUCUUAUAC